rnacentral:tRNA from 1 species
GCCGCCGUAGACCAACCGGUAGAGUCAAUCGCCUUAAGAGCGACCAAGUGCGGGUUCGAAUCCCGCCGGCGGCA